rnacentral:tRNA from 1 species
ACUUGAAUAGUUUAAUAAAAAUAUUGAUUUGUGGUAUCAAAGAUAUAAAAAUUUAUUUCAAGUC